ACUUAGGUUUCGAGCUCACUCUCAUUAUGACUCAUAUUUUUUUGUGCACCAGUCAAGCCUUGGCUUUGCUUAGUGUUGUGGUUCGCUUCAAAAUUUAUUAAUUAAAUCAAACAAUAAAGGAGAAAAGUCGCUGAAUGGAAAUAAUAAAAUAAUGUAAUUAUAAUUAAAAUGUAAAAAUGUAAUUAUAUAGAAAUAGAAGUUCUUGUUUUCAAAUGUUUAAGAUUCAGACCUGCAAAAUGCCCGGGCUGAGAAUCUAGAGUUCCUCAUACCAAAAUCCAAAGCUGCCGAGACUCGAGACGCGCAAUGUAUAGAAGAGAAAUACCCAUCAAACCUGCUGGAGUGUACUUCGACCUACGCAUCGAGCAAUGAAAACCUCCUCCUGGAUUUCUUAUAAUCGGUGCCACAGGAAAGCGGAAGAGUUUACAGAAGCUGUAAUGCAUAUCGGCCCUACUCUUGUUUUGCUUCCAAAAUUCAAUGACGAAUUCUUUAAUCUAAAUAAUGAUAAGUGAAGUCAUUUUUAAAUGAAAAUUAUCGAACUAAAUAAAAAAAUAAUAUCUUGCAAA